rnacentral:lncRNA from 1 species
GACUCCGUCUCCCAUAAGGCACUGGGCCUUCUGCACCCGAACCCAAUAAUUAGAGGCCAUUUCACAUGGCGCCCACUCAGAGUUGUCAGGGCCCAAGAACAGGCUCCAGAUGUUGGCUGGAAAAAGGCGAGGACCAGCUGCCCGAGCUCUAAGGCCUGGGCGCUCUUUGGCGAGCCGCCCCUCCCCCGCCUCGGGCACCAUCAGAGAGAGAUCAGUGAAACAUCUAUGGGGAGCUGGAAGAUAAUUGAUGCAUCUUGGAGCCUCAUCACAGCUCCAGAUCAAAGGACCUAAGAAAAUACGGACAAUCCUAUUUACUCCACUGACCCCAUAAUGGGUACAUGGAGAACAAUUGAGAGAAGGUAUAUGAAAAUAUUUUAAAAAUACUAUAAAGAAUUAUCUUUCAGAUCUAUAUAAGUAAGAAGUUCUU